rnacentral:rRNA from 1 species
UACAGAGGCAACGAGCGUUAGGCGGAAUCACUGGGCUUAAAGCGUGUGUAGGUGGAUUGGUAAGUUCCUUGUGAAAUCCCACGACUCAAUCGUGGAACUGCUUGGUAUACUGCCAGUCUUGAGGUACUCAGGGGCGAGCGGAACAGAUGGUGGAGCGGUGAAAUGCGUAGAUAUCAUCUGGAACGCCAAUGGUGAAGACAGCUCGCUGGGGGUAAUCUGACACUGAGACACGAAAGCCAGGGGAGCAAACGGG